UACAGAGGUCCCGAGCGUUGUUCGGAUUCACUGGGCGUAAAGGGUGCGUAGGUGGUGAGGUAAGUCGGAUGUGAAAUCUCCGGGCUCAACCCGGAAAUGGCAUUGGAAACUACCUUGCUGGAGGAUUUGAGGGGGGAUUGGAAUACUUGGUGUAGCAGUGAAAUGCGUAGAUAUCAAGUGGAACACCAGUGGCGAAGGCGAAUCCCUGGAAAAUACCUGACACUGAGGCACGAAAGCUAGGGGAGCGAACAGG
rnacentral:rRNA from 1 species